UACAGAGGUCCCAAGCGUUACUGAGAAUCACUGGGUUUAAAGGGUGCGUAGGUGGUCCGUUAAGUCAGUUGUGAAAUCCCCGGGCUUAACCUGGGAACUGCAUUGGUGACUGGCAAGCUAGAGUGUGGCAGAGGGGGGUAGAAUUCCACGUGUAGCAGUGAAAUGCGUAGAGAUGUGGAGGAAUACCGAUGGCGAAGGCAGCCCCCUGGGCCAACACUGACGCUCAUGCACGAAAGCGUGGGGAGCAAACAGG
rnacentral:rRNA from 1 species